GGCUGGUCCCAGUACAGUGGUAUUUACAACUAAUUGAUCACAGCCAGUUACAGAUUUCUUUGUUCCUUCUCUACUCCCACUGCUUCACUUGACUAGCCUGUU
ensembl:misc_RNA Y_RNA Y RNA